GGUUGUGGCUCAGUGGUAGAGUGCUUGCCUAGCAGAGGUGAGGCACUGAGUUCAAUCCUCAGCACCA
rnacentral:tRNA from 1 species